GUAAUGCCUGUUUGACUUCCCCCGUGGGGAAUUCCAGGGAGCCAUCCCCUCACCUGGCUGGGGCAGAGCUGGCAUUGAUUUUCAUAUCCUUGUGCAUUAGUGGGAACGGGCUGGCUGCUCCAGCAGCACCUCUUCCAGGAAGGUAUUUGCUAGGAUUUCAACAGAUGCCAACCAAGGCACCAGGUGUCUUCUUUCACGAACGUGUUCUUCCUGAAACUAAAUGCUUUGAGAGUGCGUUCUCUCUGAAGAAGGUGGAAAGGGGUAGGGCAAUGGAAUUGCCGUUACCCCUCUCCUAAAUCCUUUUCCCACCAGAAGCAGGGGGUUCCUGCCGCGUUCCAGCCGGCAGCGCUGGGAGAGCCGCCCCAUUCCCGCAGGGAAUCCGCGUGUUCCGACGCUCCUGCGCUUCCGAUAGUGCGGCUUUGUUGGUACAACUGAGGGCGAUUGUGCGCCCGGGGCUGGGCGGCCCCUCGGUGCCGCAGCUGCCCGGCAGCCCGGCCCGAUACUGCCUUCUUUGUGCCCCGGACAGCCAGGGAAUCUCCUCCUUAACUGCACAUCGUCCUGAUAGCCCCGUGCUUAAUAAACCCGACACUAGCUCCGAAAUAGAAACGGUUAGAAAACUUGUGGUUUCUCCUAGAAACCACAGUUUGGGGUUUUUUUUUUUCCUGUUGUUUGCUUGGGGUUUUUUUGUUGUUUUUUUUUUAAACAAAGUUCUGCUUUAGAACAGGAGAUUCUUACAUUGAUCUGCGUGCGUUGGUUGUGCCGUGAGGUUUCUUGCUCCUGAUAACAGCGGAGUUUUUAGCUGUGCAGCAAAAUCAGAGUCAUUUCUAGAUUGGCUUAAAACAGCCCCAGCUUUGGUGAGGAUCCCCCAUGCCGAGUGCAGAAUGAUCCUCGCUGCACCUGCACGGGAAGAGCAGUUUAUCUGGAAUUGCAGUUGGAGCGGUUUCAAAUAGAAAGCUGAAUUAUGAGGGAAAAUGAAGAUUCCAGGCAGCUCCCCGUGCAAUAAACCUUCCCUAAAUGCCGUCCCCGCACGGCUGAGAAAUGCCCGUCUCCCGCAUGACUUGCUUGCCCUCCGCGCAGCUGAUGACGCGACAGAUCCUGACGAGCUCAGACCACGCGGAUGCCGACCUGGGAAGAUUUGCCAGCGUGGAUCCGGGGCUCUGGGGCUGGCUGCAUCCCACGGGGUGUUUGCCUGGCUAGGAUGCUGCGGAGAGCAGCUGCCAGCGGAAAUUUAAACAUGAAAAACUUGGCAGUUUGCUGAA